rnacentral:rRNA from 1 species
CCUACGGGGGACAGCAGUGAGGAAUAUUGGUCAAUGGACGAGAGUCUGAACCAGCCAAGUAGCGUGAAGGAUGACUGCCCUAUGGGUUGUAAACUUCUUUUAUAAAGGAAUAAAACGAGGCACGUGUGCCUUUUUGCAUGUACUUUAUGAAUAAGGAUCGGCUAACUCCGUGCCAGCAGCCGCGGUAAUACGGAGGUUCCGAGCGUUAUCCGGAUUUAGUGGGUUUAAAGGGAGCGUAGAUGGGUUGUUAAGUCAGUUGUGAAAGUUUGCGGCUCAACCGUAAAAUUGCAAUUGAUACUGGCAGUCUUGAGUACAGUUGAGGUAGGCGGAAUUCGUGGUGUAGCGGUGAAAUGCUUAGAUAUCACGAAGAACCUCGAUUGCGAAGGCAGCUUACUAAACUGUGACUGACAUUGAUGCUCGAAAGUGUGGGUAUCAAACAGGAUUAGAUACCCGAGUAGUC